UACGGAGGAUCCAAGCGUUGUCCGGAUUAUUGGGUUUAAAGGGUGCGUAGGCGGAUAAUUAAGUCAGUGGUGAAAUCUUGCGGCUCAACCGUAAAAUUGCCAUUGAAACUGAUUAUCUUGAGUACAGUUGAGGUGGGCGGAAUGUAUCAUGUAGCGGUGAAAUGCUUAGAUAUGAUACAGAACACCUAUUGCGAAAAGCAGCUCACUAAACUGCAACUGACGCUGAGGCACGAAAGCGUGGGGAUCAAACAGG
rnacentral:rRNA from 1 species